UCGGUAAGAAUAUUAAUUAUAUCAAAUCUUUGAAUUUGAUUUGAAGUUCUUCUAGUUUUUUUAUUUCUCUUAAAUUUUUAUUUCUUGAAAUACCAAUAAAAGCUCCCCAAAUGUUAUUCUAUGCUAGAGAACCAGAAAAACAAUCUAUUCCAUAUAGACUAUUAACAUAACCAUUGUCAAAAGAUGUUAGAAGUCAUGUACUGACUAAUUAGUGUGGAGUCUAAUGUGCCUAGCAUUUGUAAACAGCACUUGAUAACUAGUGGUACUAGUCAGAGACCUACUCUUAACAGAGGAGGUAUCAGACAAUUGUAAGAUAUGAGUAGUAAUUUAGCUUGUGUAGAAUUUUGUUAGAUCAGCUCCCCACUUAAGCUUUUCUCUCUGUCACAUAAUGAGGUUUGAUAAACCACUCUAGACUCAAUUGUGUGAUACUUUCCACUCUAGGAAUAACCUCACUGAUAAUUUUUGAAAACAAUUGGUAGCUUGCUACCUUCCACUAUUGCUGGACUUACUAAAGUAAAAAAUGUCCCUGUUGUAAAUUUUCCUAAAUUCUCGUUCAUUUGUUUUUAAAGCUUAUUUUCAUAUUUCCUAAAGUUUCUAGUAUAAAUUUAUGUUGACCAGUAACAAACUACUUUGUUGGUACUUUAAGCUCAUUAAAGAAUCAUUCAUAAUCUGUAUUUUUACAUUUGAUUGUAAUUGUUGUGUCAGCUCUUUCUUUGUUCUAUGAUGUUUGUCUCUCAUCAACACACCAGUGAUAAAUUAUGUCCAUUAUUGCAUCCAGUAAAAACUACUUUGAUAUCAAGUUGUCAGAUCUGGACCUACCAAUGUUGUUGUUAUUACAUUAUUAGAGUGUCACUAAGCCUCAUAAAUGUUGACCUGAACUUAACUACGGUAACGUUCACAUUACCAAACUUUUUUAAUUACUGUGCCUGACCAGAAACAUUUCACCAUUUUCUGAAAUAAUCUUACUUAAUUUUGUACUUAGUCUCUUUUGAUUAUGUAAAGUUGGAAAGUAAGGUAUUUUACUGACUUGAGUGUAUAAAUUUGUUUACAAAACAGUGUGCAUGGUAUUUAAAUGUAUAUAGAGGAUUGUAAAUACAUUGUUGUGUAUAUAAGAUUGUUACUAUAUAUAGGUAUAAUAUGUAUAACCUGUUGUUACAUUGCAGGGACUUGUGUACUGGUAUAUAUAUAUAUAUAUAAGAUAUAUCUCUACUCUUAAAUGUUUGUACCCCAUCUCUAGAGAACUUAGUAAGGAAAAUUGUAAUUAUCAAUUUCUUUAUAUAACAGAUGUAUGUAUUUGUCUUUAAAAACAUUUCCCUUCAUGUUAACAGAUAGCUUUUGUGUGAAUGUCAUGCAUAAUGAUAGGUAUUAAGUUUCAAUGCAUGGUUAAGGAAUUAUGAAACAUCUGCCAAAUGAAGAUGAGCUGUUUGUUACAUAUUUAAUGAGAUGCACAGUAAAAUACGAUUUAGCAUGUAGUAUGCUGUCCCUGGUUUUAUCUGUGUGUUAGCGAUCAUAUACAAAAGAAGGGUUUGUUACUAAGAAUAUCAUGAAACUGUUGUGUUUGGGGUUUGUUUCUCCUACAAAUAUUGAUGGCAAUUAAUUUUGUUUUUAACUAUAUUCUGUUUGUUGUUUCUAUUUGUUAUUUAUUGUAUAAAUGUACAUUUUUGUAAGAAUGAAUUAUAUAUAUUUAUAUAUGUAUAUUUCUUACAAAAGUCAAAAUCAGAAGGUGCCGAAAAUUCAUUGUGAGUAUUCCAUUAAAAAGUCAGUAUCACAAAUUUUGUACAAAUCAUUAGAAAAUGUUAAUCUGUACAUAUAUCACUGUAGUCAGUAGGUAGCCUGAUAUGUGUGUGUAUGAUAUCACUGUAGUCAGUAGGUAGCCUGAUAUGUGUGUGUAUGAUAUCACUGUAGUCAGUAGGUAGCCUGAUAUGUGUGUGUAUGAUAUCACUGUAGUCAGUAGGUAGCCUGAUACGUGUGUGUGUGAUAUCACUGUAGACAGUAUGUAAGCCUGAUAUGUGUGUGUAUGAUAUCACUGUAGUCAGUAGGUAGCCUGAUAUGUGUGUGUAUGAUAUCACUGUAGUCAGUAGGUAGCCUGAUAUGUGUGUGUAUGAUAUCACUGUAGACAGUAGGUAGCCUGAUAUGUGUGUGUAUGAUAUCACUGUAGUCAGUAGGUAGCCUGAUAUGUGUGUGUAUGAUAUCACUGUAGUCAGUAGGUAGCCUGAUAUGUGUGUGUAUGAUAUCACUUUAGUCAGUAGGUAGCCUGAUAUGUGUGUGUAUGAUAUCACUGUAGUCAGUAGGUAGCCUGAUAUGUGUGUGUAUGAUAUCACUGUAGUCAGUAGGUAGCCUGAUACGUGUGUGUGUGAUAUCACUGUAGACAGUAUGUAAGCCUGAUAUGUGUGUGUAUGAUAUCACUGUAGUCAGUAGGUAAGCCUGAUAUGUGUGUGUAUGAUAUCACUGUAGACAGUAGGUAGCCUGAUAUGUGUGUGUAUGAUAUCACUGUAGUCAGUAGGUAGCCUGAUAUGUGUGUGUAUGAUAUCACUAUAGUCAGUAGGUAGCCUGAUAUGUGUGUGUAUGAUAUCACUAUAGACAGUAGGUAGCCUGAUAUGUGUGUGUAUGAUAUCACUUUAGUCAGUAGGUAGCCUGAUAUGUGUGUGUAUGAUAUCACUGUAGUCAGUAGGUAGCCUGAUAUGUGUGUGUAUGAUAUCACUAUAGUCAGUAGGUAGCCUGAUAUGUGUGUGUAUGAUAUCACUGUAGUCAGUAGGUAGACUGAUAUGUGUGUAUGAUAUCACUGUAGACAGAAUGUAGCCUGAUAUGUGUGUGUAUGAUAUCACUGUAGUCAGUAGGUAGACUGAUAUGUGUGUAUGAUAUCACUGUAGACAGUAGGUAGCCUGAUAUGUGUGUGUAUGAUAUCACUGUAGACAGAAUGUAGCCUGAUAUGUGUGUGUAUGAUAUCACUGUAGACAGUAGGUAGCCUGAUAUGUGUGUGUAUGAUAUCACUGUAGUCAGUAGGUAGACUGAUAUGUGUGUAUGAUAUCACUGUAGUCAGUAGGUAGCCUGAUAUGUGUGUGUGUGAUAUCACUGUAGUCAGUAGGUAGCCUGAUACGUGUGUGUGUGUGUGAUAUCACUGUAGACAGUAUGUAAGCCUGAUAUGUGUGUGUAUGAUAUCACUGUAGUCAGUAGGUAGCCUGAUAUGUGUGUGUAUGAUAUCACUGUAGACAGUAUGUAGCCUGAUAUGUGUGUGUAUGAUAUCACUGUAGUCAGUAGGUAACCUGAUAUGUGUGUGUAUGAUAUCACUGUAGACAGUAGGUAGCCUGAUAUGUGUGUGUAUGAUAUCACUGUAGUCAGUAGGUAGCCUGAUAUGUGUGUGUAUGAUAUCACUGUAGACAGUAUGUAAGCCUGAUAUGCCUGCCUUGUUUUGUAUGGAUUUUAAACAAAAAUUAUGAAUUUAUUUGGAGUCCUUUUAUAGCCUUCAUACCUUGUAUUUGUAUGAUACGUGUAUCAUGUAUAUUGUAGGAAAGUCCAGUUGGACCUGAAACAUUUAAUACAUUAUCAUUUUAUUUUGUUAAUAUUAUAUUGUCUUAUUUACAAACGGCGUGUAUAAGGCUUCAGUAAUUUUUCAUGAUCUUCUUUCUAUGGCAAGGUCAUUUAAAUCUUUCAUGGUUUAAGUAUGAGAAUCCUGUCUUCAAUUCAGUACCUGAUUUCUGUGAAUCUCUCCACCCCCAAAAUCUGUCUUAAGAUUAACUUUUGUCCAGCACCUGAAGCAAGACUUUGUCAGUAUUAUAAUAUAUUGUAUAUACUAGGAAAGGGGUAUGUAAUAGACAUCUCUCUGAAUAAAGGGCAUGCCAUAAAUUAACUUCAGGCUGAAAAGAUUCUCUGAUUUGCUCCAAUUUACAUAUUAUCGAGCAUUUCAUUUUAGUUUUAAAAGAAGAUUAACUUAAAUGAUAUAUUUACACAUAAUUACAAGAUGUGAUCAGUUUCAUUUUCAGUAAGUUUGAAAAUUUAAAUUUCAUAUUUUUUAAAUUGAAUGUUAUUGCCAGCUGGGAGAGUGAUAGCAAAAUUGUCUCUGAGCUAAAACACAAUUAAUGUGUACUGGACAAAUCAGAAUGUAAUAGACAGCAGGGGCCUGUAAAACUGAUGCAAUACAUUUGUACAACUGUCCUGGACAGGGCUGUAUUAGAUCAAUUUUAAAUGACCAUAGAUAGCAUAAAACAUUUAGGCAAGAUCUUUUGAAGAUUUCAACAAUACAUUGUACAUAUACUUACCCAGUGUAAAAACUCAUUUCAUUUACAUAUAGCACUGAGCUGUAUCUGUUAAACUUAAUCUUUUAGAUAGGUCAAUGAAGGUGAAGAACCCAAAGAUGAAGUAUUUUAUUAAGGUUUGUGUUGGUAACUGUUACACUUUAUAAAAUGACCUCACACAUUGUAUGUACCCUUUGUACAUAAAAACCAAUGGUAGAAUAAAGCUGUUGAAUAUGA